CAGACCCACGUGAAGCCACCACUCCCUGCUGACACGACGGGCCGAUCCGCACUCACUUUCAUUCUGCUGCAGACAGGAAUAAGGGAUGUUUGGACCGUUACACAGCCAACAGAAGCAUGUGGACAGACAUUGACUGUGAUGAUGGACAUCUGCUGAUGCACAGGCCAGAAGUAUAACCCCUGCUGGACAUUGUUCUGGAACUCAGGGGGGGACUCCAUGAUCCCCCACACCUUCUCACUCACGCCAGACCAUUCACUCAUAUCGUGGAGAUCUGGCUGGAUUUGAACCAGCAACCUCUGAAACCGUGAGGCAGCGCUCUUACCACUGAGCCACAGAUCUCUUGUCUGAACAUGUGCAGGAACUUAUAUUUCACUAUUCUCUCUGUCAUUUUACAAUAAACCA